GAUGAAGAACGUAGCGAAAUGCGAUAAGUAAUGUGAAUUGCAGAAUUCAGUGAAUCAUCGAAUCUUUGAACGCAUCUUGCGCUCCUUGGUACUCCUUGGAGCAUGCCUGUUUGAGUAUCAUGAGCAAAUCUCAAAGUCAAUUCCUUUUGUUGAUUCAAUUGGUUUUGCUUUGGACUUGGAGGCCUUGCAGAUUUCACAGUCUGCUCCUCUUAAAUGCAUUAGCUGGAUCUCAGUAAUUAUGCUUGGUUCCACUCGGCGUGAUAAGUAUCACUCGCUGAGGACACUGUUAAAAAGGUGGCCAGGAAAAUACUGCUUGAACCGCUUCUAACGGUCUAUUAAGUUAGACAAUUACCCUUAAGUUUGAUCUCAAAUCAGGUAGGACUACCCGCUGAACUUAAGCAUAUCAAUAAGCGGAGGA
rnacentral:misc_RNA from 1 species